CUCACUCUCUCUGUCUCGCCCACCUUCUCUAUCUUUUACUUGCUCUCUCUCCCGUCUCCCUCUCUCUCGCUCUGCCUGACACUUGCGCUGUCUCUAUCUCUCACUAUCUCUCUCUUUCCCUCUACCAUCAUCAUAACAGUGCUGGUAUGUUUGUGGUCUGAUGUCUGAGCUCACCUUGUACAGUAAGGUUUAGUCUGUAGCUAAGCUAAUAGGUUUAUCUAUGAGGCUGGACCUCUGGGCACCACCACCACCUCUAAUCCCCUUAAAGGGCUCUGCUGGAACAAGGCUUACACAGGUUAAGCACAUCAACCAGGGACGCUGCCAGCAUACAGCACAGCACAUAAGCUAUCUGGACUGUAGGACAAGACAGCAGCAGCUCAACACAAUACCAUACAGGACUACCAUCCCUGCAGCACUUCACCCAUCAGGCCUUUAUGGUAGAGUGGCUUGACGGAAAGUGGCUCCUCAGUAAAAGGCACAUGACAGCCAGCUUGGAGUUUGCCCAAAGGAACCUAAAGGACUCUCAGACCAUAAGAAACAAGAUUCUCUGGUCUGAUGAAACCAAGAUUGAACUCUUUGGCCUGAAUGCCAAACGUCACAUCUGGAAGAAACCUGGCACCAUCCCUACGGUGAAGCAUGGUGGUGGCAGCAUCAUGCGGUGGGGAUGUUUUUCAGCCGCCCCCCUGAUGGGCACCCCCAGGUGGUGAGGGUAGAUAGCAACACAGCUGCCACGCUGAUCCUCAACUCUGGAGCUCCCCAGGGGUGCAUGCUCAGUCCCCUCCUGUACUCCCUGUUCACCCACCAUGGCCAGGCAUGACUCCAACACCAUCAUUAAGUUUGCAGACGACACAACAGUGGUAGGCCUAAUCACUGACAACGAUGAGACAGCAUAUAGGGAGGAAGUCAGAGACCUGGCCGGGUGGUGCCAGAAUAACAACCUCUCCCUCAACGUAACCAAGACUAAGGAGAUGAUUGUGGACUACAGGAAAAGGACGAUCGAGCACGCCCCCAUUCUCAUUGACAGAGCUGUAGUGGAGCAGGUUGAGAGCUUCAAGUUCUUUGGUGUCCACAUCAACAACAAACUAGAAUGGUCCGAACACACCAAGGCGGCCGUGAAGAGGGCACGACAAAGCCUAUUCCCCCUCAGAAAACUAAAAAGAUUUGGCAUGGGUCCUGAGAUCCUCAAAAGGUUCUACAGCUGCAACAUCGAGAGCAUCCUGACUGGUUGCAUCACUGCCUGGUACGGCAACUGCUCGGCCUCUGACCGCAAGGCACUAGAGGGUAGUGCGUACGGCCCAGUACAUCACUGGGGCCAAGCUUCGUGCCAUCCAGGACCUCUACACCAGGCGGUGCCAGAGGAAAGCCCUAACAAUUGUCAAAGACCUAAGCCACCCCAGUCAUAGAGUGUUCUCUCUACUACCGCAUGGCAAGCGGUACCGGAGUGCCAAGUCUAGGACAAAAAGGCUUCUCAACAGUUUUUACCCCCAAGUCAUAAGGCUCCUGAACAGCCGCAGGGACUGGGAGACUCGUCAGGAUCGAGGGAAAGAUGAACAGAGCAAAGUACAGAGAGAUCCUUGAUGAAAACCUGCUCCAGAGGACCUCAGACUGGGGCGAAGAAAACGACCCUAAGCACACAGCCAAGACAACACAGGAGUGGCUUGGGGACAAGUCUCUGAAUGUCCCCAAAAAAAAUACAAAUAAUUGUUUUUGCUUUUGUCACUAUGGGUUAUUGUGUGCAGAUUGAUGAAGAAAAAAAAUGUAAUCCAUGUUUAGAAUAAGGCUGUAACGUAACAAAAUGUGGAAAAAGUCAAGGGGUCUGAGUACUUUCCGAAUGCACUGUAGACAUUCUAAAUGUAAUUCCCAGCCGGUACAGAUACUGUGCCUAUCUGCAUUUUGUCUCGUGGUAAUGGGGCUACCUUGGAAAACAUGCCAGAUGGUCAUACCUUCCUGUGUGGUGUCCCGUAUACAACAGGAUUUCCCUGGUCCUUGUGCAGAAUACACAGGAUUACUUCUUUCCAAUAUUGUCUGAUACCAUUCAAUUCAAUA
rnacentral:lncRNA from 1 species